UUUGACACCCAACCAUUUGAUCAAUUGUGCAUUAAAAAUGACCUAGUAUUUUAGAAAAAUGAUUUGGUCCAAUUUUGCAACAAAUAUAUGGUACGUCCUUCACAAAAAACCCGAUUAUUGGCACUCCAAAAAUUGAAAAAUGAUUUUUUGUGCAAAGAAAAUGAAAACCCCUCAAAUCAACAUUGUUUGUUGUCCCAAGAUACACACUUGUGCAAAAUAUUGGGUCGUUUGAAAAAACUAUAAGCGGUAAUAUGUUGAAUGUUUACCCAGAAUAAGAGGGUACAAAAUAUAAAAAAACAGAAGAAAAAACAAAACUACGCAAGGUGAAUUAUGAUUGGUGGAAUCUGUUGUGGCAUGGAUCAGUGAUGUGGCAAACAUCCAUCCAUCGAUCAAUUGAUACAGCCCACCGCAGAAAGCAUCCGUCCAUCGAUCCAUUCAUCCAGCCUCUCUCCCUCUUGCCCGAACCCUAGAGCUCCGCUCCUCCCUGCCGCCGCCACCUCCACCUCCCUCUCCCCGAUCCAGACCCAGCCACCACCCAUGGCGCCAGCCAGAGCAGCCACCGGCGAUGGCGACGACGAGGCUAGAGGCCGCCGAAUCCGGGAUCAGGGCGGCGCAUAGCCCCUCCUCCCGUGAGAUCCGGGACGCAGUCGCCCAUCUGGAUUGAGCAGCUCCUCUGGCCAUUGCACCGUCUCCACCCCCCAGCACGCGUCCGGAUUUGGUGCUCCUCGCGUGACCCACCCCCCAGCACGCGUCUCCACCCUCUCUUCCCCGACGUCCUUGGCGAGGGAAUGAAUAGGAGCUCCGGCCAAGGCCAUGGACGCCACCAGCAGAAGCUCCGCCUCGGAUCUUGCAACCUCGUCGACCAGAUACAACAGGUCCCCGCCGCUGCGCCAAGAUCCUCCCCUCCCUCCCAGAGAGGCCCUCUCUCCCACACGCUCUGCAUCCGCUACGGCCGUCGCAGCUUCCACCUCCAGAAGAGCACCUGCUCCUCGUGCGGUUACCCGGCUGCCCGCAUCCGCAAGUCUAAGCUCCGUUCCAUGUUCUUGAUGUGCAAUGGUGAAGAAAUAGAGAGCAUCGUCUAUACUAUUCUUCUUCAGAACUUAUCAUGUUGUUGUACUGUCAAGAGUUCAGUUAGGAUCUAUCUGUGUUCAGUUUACUUCAUAUAUCUUUGUGAAAAAGUGAUGUAUUGGCAAAGGUUUAGUUAUAAUAUUUGUCUGUUCAGUUCAUACAUGCUUGUGCAAAAUUACUGCUGUACUGGCCAGAAUUCAGUGCUAAAGUUCACUUCAUAUAUGUGUUCUGUCAAAAUUCAGUUAUGCUCUAGUAUUGUACAAACACAUUGGAAUAUAUGUACACAUAUCUGUCAGAAA